CGGGCGGCGCGCCGGUCUAAGUCCCUUGGAACGGGGCGUCACAGAGGGUGAGAAUCCCGUAUGUGACCGGUGACCGCGCCCAUGUGAAACCCCUUCGACGAGUCGAGUUGUUUGGGAAUGCAGCUCAAAAUGGGUGGUAAAUUUCAUCUAAAGCUAAAUACNGGCCAGAGACCGAUAGCGCACAAGUAGAGUGAUCGAAAGAUGAAAAGCACUUUGGAAAGAGAGUCAAAAAGUACGUGAAAUUGUUGAAAGGGAAGCGCUUGCAACCAGACCUGCCCGCGGGUGAUCAACCGUCCUUCGGGGCGGUGCACUCGCCCGUGAUCAGGCCAGCAUCGGUUCGGGCGGUCGGAUAAAGGCCUUGGGAACGUAGCUCCUCUCGGGGAGUGUUAUAGCCCUCGGCGCAAUGCGGCCUGCCCGGACCGAGGACCGCGCUUCGGCUAGGAUGCUGGCGUAAUGGUUGUAAGCGGCCCGUCUUGAAACACGGACCAAGGAGUCGACCAACUAUGCGAGUGUUUGGGUGUCAAACCCACACGCGCAAUGAAAGUGAACGGAGGUGGGAACCCCUCUCGGGGCGCACCAUCGACCGAUCCAGAUGUCUUCGGAUGGAUUUGAGUACGAGCAUAGCCGGUCGGACCCGAAAGAUGAUGAACUAUGCCUGAAUAGGGUGAAGCCAGAGGAAACUCUGGUGGAGGCUCGCAGC
rnacentral:rRNA from 1 species